GGGGUUGUGGCUCAGUGGUAGAGUGUUCGCCUAGCAUGUGCAACGCCCUGGGUUCAAUCCACAGCACCACA
rnacentral:tRNA from 1 species